GUGCAGCGCCGCGGUAAUACCGGCAGCUCAAGCGAUGGCCACUCUUCUUGGGCCUAAAGCGUCCGUAGCUGGCCGCGCAAGUCCGUCGGGAAAUCCACCUGCCCAACAGGUGGGCGUCCGGCGGAAACUGCGUGGCUUGGAACCGGAAGGCUCAGAGGGUACGUCCGGGGUAGGAGUGAAAUCCCGUAAUCCCGGACGGACCACCGAUGGCGAAAGCACUCUGAGAAGACGGCUUUGACAGUGAGGGACGAAAGCUAGGGUCUCAAACCGGAUUAGAAACCCGAGUAGUCC
rnacentral:rRNA from 1 species